rnacentral:rRNA from 1 species
CAAAAGCGUAUAUUAAAGUUGUUGCAGUUAAAAAGCUCGUAGUUGAACCUUGGGCUUGGCUGGCCGGUCCAUCUUUUUUGAUGCGCACUGGACCCAGCCGAGCCUUUCCUUCUGGCUAGCCUUUUGGCGAACCAGGACUUUUACUUUGAAAAAAUUAGAGUGUUCAAAGCAGGCCUUUGCUCGAAUAUAUUAGCAUGGAAUAAUAGAAUAGGACGUUAUGGUUCUAUUUUGUUGGUUUCUAGGACCAUCGUAAUGAUUAAUAGGGACGGUCGGGGGUAUCAGUAUUCAGUUGUCAGAGGUGAAAUUCUUGGAUUUACUGAAGACUAACUACUGCGAAAGCAUUUACCAAGGACGUUUUCAUUAA